rnacentral:rRNA from 1 species
GAUGAACGCUGGUGGUAUGCCUUACACAUGCAAGUUGUACGAAGGUUUUUUAAUCUUAAGUAGCGGACGGGUGAGUAACACGUAAGAAUUUACCUUCAGGAGGGGGAUAACAACUGGAAACAGUUGCUAAUACCCCAUAUGCUUUUUAGUGAAAUGGGAUUACCGCCUGAAGAGAAGCUUGCGGCUGAUUAGCUUGUUGGUAAGGUAAUGGCUUACCAAGGCGACGAUCAGUAUCUGGUUUGAGAGGACGAUCAGACACACUGGAACUGAGACACGGUCCAGACUCCUACGGGAGGCAGCAGUGGGGAAUUUUCCGCAAUGGGCGAAAGCCUGACGGAGCAAUACCGCGUGAGGGAAGAAAGCCCACAGGGUUGUAAACCUCUUUUAUCAAGGAAGAAGUUCUGACGUUACUUGAUGAAUAAGCAUCGGCUAACUCCGUGCCAGCAGCCGCGGUAAGACGGGGGAUGCAAGUGUUAUCCGGAAUCACUGGGCGUAAAGCGUUUGUAGGUGGUCUAGUAAGUCAACUGUUAAAUCUUGAAGCUCAACUUCGAAACUGCAGUCGAAACUGUUUAACUCGAGUAUAGUAGAGGUAAAGGGAAUUUCCAGUGGAGCGGUGAAAUGCGUAGAGAUUGGAAAGAACACCAAUGGCGAAAGCACUUUACUGGGCUAUAACUGACACUCAGAGACGAAAGCUAGGGUAGCAAAUGGGAUUAGAUACCCCAGUAGUCCUAGCCGUAAACAAUGGAUACUAUAUGUUGACCAGAUCGACCUGUGCAGUAUUAUAGCUAACGCGUUAAGUA